rnacentral:tRNA from 1 species
GCAUUGGUGGUUCAGUGGUGAAAUUCUCACCUUCCAUGUGGGAGACUCAGGUUCAAUCCCUGGCCAAUGAA